rnacentral:rRNA from 1 species
CUCUUCGGAGUGUGCGCUAGUGGCGGACGGGUGAGUAACGCGUAGGAAUCUACCUAGUAGUGGGGGAUAACGUCAGGAGACUGAUGCUAAUACCGCAUACGACCUAAGGGUGAAAGCGGGGGCCUUUCGAACCUCGCGCUAUUAGAGGAGCCUGCGUUGGAUUAGCUUGUUGGUGAGGUAACGGCUCACCAAGGCUACGAUCUAUAGCUGGUCUGAGAGGACGAUCAGCCACACUGGAACUGAGACACGGUCCAGACUUCUAAGGAAGGCAGCAGUAGAGAAUAUUGCACAAUGGGCGAAAGCCAGAUGCAGGCAUGCCGCGUGUGUGAAGACAGCCUUAGGGUUGUAAAGCACUUUCGGUGGUGAAGAAAGCCGACGCGCUAAUACCGCGAUCGGGUAGACGUUAACCAUUAAAGAAGCACCGGCUAACUCCGUGCCAGCAGCCGCGGUAAGACGGAGGGUGCAAACGUUAAUCGGAAUUACUGGGCGUAAAGCGCACGUAGGCGGAUGGUCAAGUGGGGUGUGAAAGCCCUAGGCUCAACCUGGGAAUUGCAUUCCAAACUGACCGUCUAGAGUGUAGUAGAGGAAAGUGGAAUUUGCUGUGUAGCGGUGAAAUGCGUAGAUAUGGCAAGGAACAUCAGUGGCGAAGGCGGCUUUCUGGACUAACACUGACGCUGAGGUGCGAAAGCGUGGGUAGCGAACAGGAUUAGAUACCCUGGUAGUCCACGCCGUAAACGAUGAGAACUAGCCGUAGGAUCUUUCGGGGUUUUGUGGCGCAGCUAACGCGAUAAGUUCUCCGCCUGGGGACUACGACCGCAAGGUUAAAACUCAAAUGAAUUGACGGGAGCCCGCACAAGCGGUGGAGCAUGUUGUUUAAUUCGAUGCAACGCGAAGAACCUUACCACCUCUUGACAUCCCAAGGAAUCCCUCAGAGAUGAGGGAGUGCUUUUGAACCUU